AGCUUGCUUUUGAGGCGUCGACCGGCGCACGGGUGAGUAACGCGUAUCCACCUGCCCACCACUUGGGGAUAACCUUGCGAAAGUAAGACUAAUACCCAAUGAUAAGACAUCUGUAAAGAUUUAUCGGUGAUGGAUGGGGAUGCGUCUGAUUAGCUUGUUGGCGGGGUAACGGCCCACCAAGGCAACGAUCAGUAGGGGUUCUGAGAGGAAGGUCCCCCACAUUGGAACUGAGACACGGUCCAAACUCCUACGGGAGGCAGCAGUGAGGAAUAUUGGUCAAUGGACGAGAGUCUGAACCAGCCAAGUAGCGUGAAGGAUGAAGGUUUAUGGAUUGUAAACUUCUUUUAUACGGGAAUAACGGAUCCACGCGUGGAUUUCUGCAUGUACCGUAUGAAUAAGGAUCGGCUAACUCCGUGCCAGCAGCCGCGGUAAUACGGAGGAUCCGAGCGUUAUCCGGAUUUAUUGGGUUUAAAGGGAGCGUAGAUGGGUUGUUAAGUCAGUUGUGAAAGUUUGCGGCUCAACCGUAAAAUUGCAAUUGAUACUGGCAGUCUUGAGUACAGUUGAGGUAGGCGGAAUUCGUGGUGUAGCGGUGAAAUG
rnacentral:rRNA from 1 species